AGGCGCAUAGCUCCAAUGGUAGAGCACCGGAUUCCAAAUCCGGGUGUUGCGGGUUCGAGUCCCCCUGUGCCUGCCA
rnacentral:tRNA from 1 species